AGCUUCUCCACACGCUUUUUGA
rnacentral:miRNA from 15 species